rnacentral:lncRNA from 1 species
CCCGGUUGGAUCCAUCAUCGGACCCCAAGAGGAGUCCGCGCAGCCCAGCCGGCAUCCCGAAGCUCCUCCUUUCGCGGGAACCGAAGCAGAAGAGCGAUCAAGGAGGUCCUCACCACAGGACUCCUAUGGGUCCGACCCUGGGUCUCCCGCAGGCCCCUCUGGCAGUCCUCUUCCCACCCGCCGCCUCGGGCUGCGCCGCCACCGCCGCCGCCGCAACCUCCAGCACCGCCGCCCCAGGCCCCGCAGCCGCCGCGUCGCCGCCAUUUUUUAAAGGGUCCGCAGCCUGACUCUGCGGAGUAAGGGGGGCUGGAGCGGGGGGAGUCGGCCUCGCCAGUGCGCAUGCGCGAGGCCCAAGCCGCCGCUUGGGUCAAAGUGAAAGCCACCGUUGCCCGGGGAUGGGUCCCUGACACUUGGCGAAGUAGGAGCCCUGUGUGAUCGUGCGUCUGAGUCUGGGCUGAGACCAGUCCUGGCCAGGGCAGUUACCAGGACGGUCUCCGGAGGCCGGGAUUCGCGGAGGGUCCACCAGCAGGAAGAAACCCCAAGAGGAAGAAACCUCAGACAGAUCGCCGGCGAGGCAGCGCGGGAUCCCAGCCUCAGGCGUGCGCGGACGGUGUGCGGCGCACACAACCAAGCUUAGGAGCCGACUGUUAAGAUGCCCCAGUGACACGGACAAGUUUCUCCUCUGCAACCCAAUGAGAGCUGCUGACCACGAGAGCAUCGCGGGACCGCCAAAGGAUUCUGGAAAAUGUGGUCCCGGGUGGCCAGUGUGCGCUGACCUUCACCUGAAGGUACGGCUUGAAGGAAACUUCUGGAGGGUGGGGUGGUGUUGAAGAGAAGGCACAAUUGUCACCAUUUUGUUCAACAUGGGCGUUUUCUUUGUGCAUUGAUUUGCAUUUUUAAAGAUCCUAUGUGUCAGAGGUCGGGAAACUACAUCAGCCCCAGUCCGGGCGCCCAUGAGACCUGUGGACGGAC